rnacentral:rRNA from 1 species
UCUCGUUAGAUCACCGAAGUUAAGCAUCAUUGGGCGCGGUCAGUACUUGGGUGGGUGACCACCUGGGAACACUGCGUGCCGUU